rnacentral:rRNA from 1 species
UACAGAGGGGGCAAGCGUUGUCCGGAAUCAUUGGGCGUAAAGCGCGUGUAGGCGGUCCGGUAAGUCCGCUGUGAAAGUCGGGGGCUCAACCCUCGGAUGCCGGUGGAUACUGUCGGGCUUGAGUACGGAAGAGGCGAGUGGAAUUCCUGGUGUAGCGGUGAAAUGCGCAGAUAUCAGGAGGAACACCAAUUGCGAAGGCAGCUCGCUGGGACGUUACUGACGCUGAGACGCGAAAGCGUGGGGAGCAAACAGG